rnacentral:sRNA from 10 species
UCCCUCCCUCUGUGGAAAGAGGACGUCCCCCAGAGAAGAGGACCAGUCUUUGAUCAAAGGGUAUAGGAGUAGCUGUGCCCCCAUGCUAGACUCUCCAAACAAGCUCUUUUGUUUUUUAAGACGGAGUCUCACUCUGUCGCUAGGC